UGGGGAAGUUGAUGACAAUGGGGGCAACCCUGAUCCAGCCAUGCCGCGUGAGUGAUGAAGGCCUUCGGGUUGUAAAGCUCUUUUGGCGGGGACGAUGAUGACGGUACCCGCAGAAUAAGCCCCGGCUAACUUCGUGCCAGCAGCCGCGGUAAGACGAAGGGGGCUAGCGUUGUUCGGAAUUACUGGGCGUAAAGCGAGUGUAGGCGGUUGCCGUAGUCAGGUGUGAAAGCCUUGAGCUCAACUCAAGAAAUGCACUUGAUACUGGGUGACUAGAGGACCGGAGAGGAUAGUGGAAUUCCCAGUGUAGUGGUGAAAUACGUAGAGAUUGGGAAGAACACCAGUGGCGAAGGCGGCUAUCUGGACGGUUACUGACGCUAGACUCGAAAGCGUGGGGAGCAAACAGGAUUAGAUACCCUGGUAGUCCACGCCGUAAACGAUGGGUGCUAGACGUUGGCGAGCUUGCUCGUCAGUGUCGCAGCUAACGCGUUAAGCACCCCGCCUGGGGAGUACGGCCGCAAGGUUGAAACUC
rnacentral:rRNA from 1 species